rnacentral:rRNA from 1 species
AGGAUGAACGCUGGCGGUCUGCUUAACACAUGCAAGUCGAACGGAGUACCUCGGUACUUAGUGGCGGACGGGUGAGUAACGCGUGAGAAUCUGCCCUUAGGUCGGGGACAACCAUUGGAAACGAUGGCUAAUACCGGAUAAGCCGAGAGGUAAAAGAUUAAUUGCCUAGGGAAGAGCUCGCGUCUGAUUAGCUAGUUGGUGAGGUAAAGGCUCACCAAGGCAUCGAUCAGUAGCUGGUCUGAGAGGAUGAUCAGCCACACUGGGACUGAGACACGGCCCAGACUCCUACGGGAGGCAGCAGUGGGAAUUUUGCGCAAUGGGGGAAACCCUGACGCAGCAACGCCGCGUGGAGGAUGAAGCCCCUUGGGGUCGUAAACUCCUUUCGAUCGGGAAGAUAAUGACGGUACCGAUAUAAGAACGCCCCGCUAACUUCGUGCCAGCAGCCGC